GACGAACGCUGGCGGCGUGCCUAAUACAUGCAAGUAGAACGCUGAAGGAGGAGCUUGCUUCUCUGGAUGAGUUGCGAACGGGUGAGUAACGCGUAGGUAACCUGCCUGGUAGCGGGGGAUAACUAUUGGAAACGAUAGCUAAUACCGCAUAAGAGUAGAUGUUGCAUGACAUUUACUUAAAAGGUGCAAUUGCAUCACUACCAGAUGGACCUGCGUUGUAUUAGCUAGUUGGUGAGGUAACGGCUCACCAAGGCAACGAUACAUAGCCGACCUGAGAGGGUGAUCGGCCACACUGGGACUGAGACACGGCCCAGACCCCUACGGGAGGCAGCAGUAGGGAAUCUUCGGCAAUGGACGGAAGUCUGACCGAGCAACGCCGCGUGAGUGAAGAAGGUUUUCGGAUCGUAAAGCUCUGUUGUAAGAGAAGAACGAGUGUGAGAGUGGAAAGUUCACACUGUGACGGUAUCUUACCAGAAAGGGACGGCUAACUACGUG
rnacentral:rRNA from 1 species